rnacentral:rRNA from 1 species
GGUUAAGCGACUAAGCGUACACGGUGGAUGCCCUGGCAGUCAGAGGCGAUGAAGGACGUGCUAAUCUGCGAAAAGCGUCGGUAAGGUGAUAUGAACCGUUAUAACCGGCGAUGUCCGAAUGGGGAAACCCAGUGCAAUUCGUUGCACUAUCGUUAACUGAAUACAUAGGUUAACGAGGCGAACCGGGGGAACUGAAACAUCUAAGUACCCCGAGGAAAAGAAAUCAACCGAGAUUCCCCCAGUAGCGGCGAGCGAACGGGGAGCAGCCCAGAGUCUGAAUCAGCUUGUGUGUUAGUGGAACGGUCUGGAAAGUCCGACGGUACAGGGUGAUAGUCCCGUACACCAAAAUGCACAGGCUGUGAACUCGAAGAGUAGGGCGGGACACGUGGUAUCCUGUCUGAAUAUGGGGGGACCAUCCUCCAAGGCUAAAUACUCCUGACUGACCGAUAGUGAACCAGUACCGUGAGGGAAAGGCGAAAAGAACCCCGGCGAGGGGAGUGAAAAAGAACCUGAAACCGUGUACGUACAAGCAGUGGGAGCACCUUUAUGGUGUGACUGCGUACCUUUUGUAUAAUGGGUCAGCGACUUAUAUUCUGUAGCAAGGUUAACCGUAUAGGGGAGCCGCAGGGAAACCGAGUCUUAACUGGGCGUUAAGUUGCAGGGUAUAGACCCGAAACCCGGUGAUCUAGCCAUGGGCAGGUUGAAGGUUGGGUAACACUAACUGGAGGACCGAACCGACUAAUGUUGAAAAAUUAGCGGAUGACUUGUGGCUGGGGGUGAAAGGCCAAUCAAACCGGGAGAUAGCUGGUUCUCCCCGAAAGCUAUUUAGGUAGCGCCUCGUGAACUCAUCUUCGGGGGUAGAGCACUGUUUCGGCUAGGGGGUCAUCCCGACUUACCAACCCGAUGCAAACUACGAAUACCGAAGAAUGUUAUCACGGGAGACACACGGCGGGUGCUAACGUCCGUCGUGAAGAGGGAAACAACCCAGACCGCCAGCUAAGGUCCCAAAGUCAUGGUUAAGUGGGAAACGAUGUGGGAAGGCACAGACAGCCAGGAUGUUGGCUUAGAAGCAGCCAUCAUUUAAAGAAAGCGUAAUAGCUCACUGGUCGAGUCGGCCUGCGCGGAAGAUGUAACGGGGCUAAACCAUGCACCGAAGCUGCGGCAGCGACACGAUGUGUUGUUGGGUAGGGGAGCGUUCUGUAAGCCUGCGAAGGUGGCCUGUGAGGGUUGCUGGAGGUAUCAGAAGUGCGAAUGCUGACAUAAGUAACGAUAAAGCGGGUGAAAAGCCCGCUCGCCGGAAGACCAAGGGUUCCUGUCCAACGUUAAUCGGGGCAGGGUGAGUCGACCCCUAAGGCGAGGCCGAAAGGCGUAGUCGAUGGGAAACAGGUUAAUAUUCCUGUACUUGGUGUUACUGCGAAGGGGGGACGGAGAAGGCUAUGUUAGCCGGGCGACGGUUGUCCCGGUUUAAGCAUGUAGGCUGGUUAUCCAGGCAAAUCCGGAUAAUCAAGGCUGAGGUGUGAUGACGAGGCACUACGGUGCUGAAGUAACAAAUGCCCUGCUUCCAGGAAAAGCCUCUAAGCAUCAGGUAACAUCAAAUCGUACCCCAAACCGACACAGGUGGUCAGGUAGAGAAUACCAAGGCGCUUGAGAGAACUCGGGUGAAGGAACUAGGCAAAAUGGUGCCGUAACUUCGGGAGAAGGCACGCUGGUGUGUAGGUGAAGUCCCUGCGGAUGGAGCUGAGACCAGUCGAAGAUACCAGCUGGCUGCAACUGUUUAUUAAAAACACAGCACUGUGCAAACACGAAAGUGGACGUAUACGGUGUGACGCCUGCCCGGUGCCGGAAGGUUAAUUGAUGGGGUUAUCCGUAAGGAGAAGCUCUUGAUCGAAGCCCCGGUAAACGGCGGCCGUAACUAUAACGGUCCUAAGGUAGCGAAAUUCCUUGUCGGGUAAGUUCCGACCUGCACGAAUGGCGUAAUGAUGGCCAGGCUGUCUCCACCCGAGACUCAGUGAAAUUGAACUCGCUGUGAAGAUGCAGUGUACCCGCGGCAAGACGGAAAGACCCCGUGAACCUUUACUAUAGCUUGACACUGAACAUUGAGCCUUGAUGUGUAGGAUAGGUGGGAGGCUUUGAAGCGUGGACGCCAGUCUGCGUGGAGCCAACCUUGAAAUACCACCCUUUAAUGUUUGAUGUUCUAACGUUGGCCCCUUAUCGGGGUUGCGGACAGUGUCUGGUGGGUAGUUUGACUGGGGCGGUCUCCUCCCAAAGCGUAACGGAGGAGCACGAAGGUUAGCUAAUCCUGGUCGGACAUCAGGAGGUUAGUGCAAUGGCAUAAGCUAGCUUGACUGCGAGCGUGACGGCGCGAGCAGGUGCGAAAGCAGGUCAUAGUGAUCCGGUGGUUCUGAAUGGAAGGGCCAUCGCUCAACGGAUAAAAGGUACUCCGGGGAUAACAGGCUGAUACCGCCCAAGAGUUCAUAUCGACGGCGGUGUUUGGCACCUCGAUGUCGGCUCAUCACAUCCUGGGGCUGAAGUAGGUCCCAAGGGUAUGGCUGUUCGCCAUUUAAAGUGGUACGCGAGCUGGGUUUAGAACGUCGUGAGACAGUUCGGUCCCUAUCUGCCGUGGGCGCUGGAGAAUUGAGGGGGGCUGCUCCUAGUACGAGAGGACCGGAGUGGACGCAUCACUGGUGUUCGGGUUGUCAUGCCAAUGGCACUGCCCGGUAGCUAAAUGCGGAAGAGAUAAGUGCUGAAAGCAUCUAAGCACGAAACUUGCCCCGAGAUGAGUUCUCCCUGAGACUUUAAGUCUCCUGAAGGAACGUUGAAGACGACGACGUUGAUAGGCCGGGUGUGUAAGCGCAGCGAUGCGUUGAGCUAACCGGUACUAAUGAACCGUGAGGCUUAACCUU